GCUGGCUGGCAACCAGCCCAAGAGAGGCGGGGAGGCUUGGGCAGGGGUGCUCCGCUGGGGUCUGGGUUGUGGGCGCCGGCGCCCUCUGAGUCGCGUCACCCCGGCCCGACAAUCGAGGGCUCGGAGCGCAGUGUGCUAGGCGGGUGGCGGGAAGGUCAUGGCGGAGCCCGCGGCGCGACACCUGUCGCUGCCCUCGGGGCUGCUGGAGUUGUGCGCGCUGCUGGGCGCCUCUCAAGACAGCCUCCGCGGCCUGGAGCAGAUUGCCCAGAAACGAGGAGUGAAGAGCGCCUCUUCCCUUGUCCCCGAAGUUCUGUCUGUUUUCGUGCCUCCUUUCACCACAAAAGAGGAUGGCCAGGUACCGGGGGCCAGCUGUGCUCUUGGCAAAGGCAGGAGGCGUUCCUUCCGGAAGAAGCGAGAGAAGCCCAGGAUGGAGCCCUGGAAGAGCCACCCUGGAGACUCCAAGGGGCCCGAUUCUGAAGAUGUCACCAUCCCAGGAGGUGUGGACCUCCUUGCCCUGCCUCAGCUCUGCUUCCCAGGGUGUGUGUGUGUGGCUUCGGAACCCAAAGAGGACUACAUCCAUUUCCUGGUGCUCACGGAUGUCUGUGGAAAUAGAACCUAUGGUGUGGUCGCCCAGUACUAUCGACCCCUGCAUGAUGAAUAUUGUUUCUACAAUGGCAAGAGCCACUGGGAGCCCAGCGUGAUCUCAGCUAGGUGCUUUGUGCCUUUUGCAGUGUGUGUGGUGUCCCGAUUCCCCUACUAUAACUCCCUCAAGGACUGCCUCUCCUGUUUAUUGACUCAUCUGAAGCUCUGUAAAGAUUUUGAAGUUGACAAUCACAUAAAGGAUUUCGCUGCACGACUGUCCUUAAUACCUAGUCCACCGCCUGGGCCGCUCCACUUGAUAUUUAACAUGAAGCCGCUGCAGGUCGUCUUUCCCUCUCGAGCGGACCCCGAGAGCCCCAUCGUCGACUUGGACCUUCACCUGCCCCUGCUGUGCUUCCGGCCUGAGAAAGUGUUGCAGAUCCUGACCUGUAUCUUGACGGAACAGCGCAUCGUGUUCUUCUCCUCAGACUGGGCCCUGCUGACGCUCAUGGCCGAGUGCUUUGUGGCCUACCUCCACCCGCUGCAGUGGCAGCACACGUUUGUGCCCAUCCUGUCGGGUCAGAUGCUGGACUUCGUCAUGGCUCCCACGUCUUUCCUCAUGGGCUGUCAUCUCGACCACUUUGAAGAAGUCAGAAAGGAAGCUGAUGGUUUGGUCCUGAUUGACAUUGACCACGGGAGUGUCACCUGCUCCAAGUCUUCUGACGACAACAUAGACAUUCCUGAUGUCCCCCUUCUGCUGGCACAGACCUUCAUUCAGAGAGUCCAGAGUCUCCAGCUGCACCCGGAUUUGCACCUUGCCCACCUGAGUGCCAGCACAGACUUGAACGAGGGCCGAGCCCGCCGCCGAGCCUGGCAGCAGACUCUCAACUGCAAGAUUCAGCACAUCACUCUACAGCUGCUCGUUGGCAUCUUCAGGGAAGUGAAGAAUCACUUGAAUUAUGAACACCGCGUCUUCAACAGCGAGGAGUUUCUCAAGACAAGAGCGGCAGGGGACCAGCAGUUUUAUAAGCAGGUUUUGGACACCUACAUGUUCCACUCCUUUCUGAAGGCGCGGCUCAACGGCAGGAUGGACGCCUUUGCUCGGAUGGACCUCGACACUCAGUCUGAGGAGGACAGGAUAGACAGGAUGCUGAUAAGUCCAAGGAGACCUACUGUGGAGAAGAUGGCCUCCAGGAAGGCCUCACCCCUGCACAUCACCCACAGACGCAUGGUGGUCAGCAUGCCCAACCUGCAGGACAUCUCCCUGCCCGAGCUGCCUCCCAGGAACUCAUCGCUUCGGAUAAUGGACACCUCAAACUGCAGAAGCAGCAGUCCAGUUCUCAAAGUGACCCCUAAGUCAACAUAUAUGUUCAAGAUCCCUGAUAUCCACUUCCCACUGGAGAGCCAGUGUGUUCAGGCAUACUAUACAGACUUCGUCACUCUCCUGAGCAAGGCCAUGGCGCUGUUGGGUCCUGGCGACUCUCUGCUCCUAGCCAGGUACUUCUACCUGCGUGGUCUUCUCCAUCUGAUGCAGGGACAACUGCUGAGUGCCCUCUUGGAUUUCCAGAACCUGUAUAAGACCGACAUAGGGAUCUUCCCGGCUGAUCUGGUCAAGAGAACGGUGGAAUCCAUGUCGGCCUCUGAGCGGGCCCAGGCCGAGCGGACGCCUGAGCUCAGGCGGCUCAUCACAGAGGUCUUUGAUAAGCACGGCGAGGCCCCCAAGGCAGAUGACGCCGUGAAGAACUUCGAACUGCCCAAGAAGCACAUGCAACUCAAUGACUUUGUGAAGCGAGUCCAGGAGUCGGGGAUCGUGAAGGACGCCGUCAUUAUCCACCGUCUGUUUGAUGCACUGACCUUCGGACACGAGAAGCAGAUUGACCCGGAGACCUUCCGAGACUUUUACACCUGCUGGAAGGAGACUGAGGCAGAGGCACAGGAGGUCAGCCUGCCCGCACUGCUCAUGGAGCACCUGGAUAAGAACGAGUGCGUCUACAAGCUGUCGAGCUCUGUGAAGACCAACCGUGGAGUGGGCAAGAUCGCCAUGACCCAGAAGCGCCUGUUCUUGCUCACCGAGGGGCGGCCCGGCUAUGUGGAGAUUGCCACCUUCAGGAACAUAGAGGAAGUCAAAAAUAGCACCGUGGCAUUUCUCCUCCUGAGGAUACCCACCUUAAAGAUCAAGACGGUGGCCAAGAAGGAAGUCUUCGAGGCCAACCUCAAGUCGGAGUGUGACCUCUGGCACCUCAUGGUGAAGGAGAUGUGGGCCGGAAAGCAGCUGGCAGAUGACCACAAGGACCCACAGUACGUCCAGCAGGCACUGACCAAUGUCCUGCUCAUGGAUGCCGUGGUUGGCACGCUGCAGUCACCUAGUGCCAUUCAUGCUGCCUCCAAGCUGGCCUACUUUGACAACAUGAAGAAGAAGUCACCCAUGGCGGUCCCAAAGACAACCUCGGAGACCCUAAAACACAAGAUUAACCCUUCAGCCGGAGAGACCGCUCCCCAAGCCAUUGAAGUCCUGCUGUAUACUCCAGGGCGCCUGGAUCCUGCAGAGAAGGUGGAAGAUGCCCACCCCAAGCUGUGGUGUGCCCUGAACGAAGGCAAAGUGGUCGUGUUUGAUGCCUCCUCUUGGACCGUCCACCAGCAUUGCUUUAAAGUGGGUUCCUCGAAAGUGAACUGUAUGGUGAUGGCGGAGCACAACCAGGUGUGGGUGGGCUCCGAGGACUCUGUCAUCUACAUCAUCAAUGUCCACAGCAUGUCCUGCAACAAACAGCUCACGGAUCACCGUUCUCCAGUCACUGGCUUGGCCGUGCACAAUGGAAAGAAGCCCAGUGAGAUCUACUCCUGUAGUCUGGAUGGGACGGUCAUCGCGUGGAAUGUCAGCACACUGCGAGUGAUCAGCCGGUUCCAGCUGUCAUACGGUGACCUCCUGUCCAUCAGCCUGCACAACGACCGCAUAUGGUGUUCUUCCCUUCCCGCUUCCCUUUCGCAUGGGUGCUCUUAAGGGUGGUACUGCGUGGUUUCUCAUCGCUGGGCAGUCAGCAGCCUUCAGAGAAAUUAAGAGAACUUAUUUUGCCAGGAUGCCUAGUUCCUGGUACAGUCCACAAGAUCUUGGUGGUGACCCCGCAGGGCUUUGUUCGUCAAGAGCUGAAGCAUCCGAAAGAUGCCUCCUUCCUGGCCUUCCAACUUCUGCCUGAGGAGCAGCAGCUGUGGGCGGCCUCUACGGGGGUCAGUGAGCUGUAUAUGUGGAGCCUGAAGGACCUGGACCAGCCUCCUCAGAAGACUUACUUACAAGACUGCUCCGAGGUCACCUGUAUGAUCCGGGUGAAGAGGCAGAUCUGGGUGGGCGGCAGGGGGCUGUCUCAGGGAAAAACCAGAGGGAAGAUCUACGUGAUGGACGUGGAGAAGGUGACGGUGGAAAAGGAGCUGGUGGCACACUUGGACACCGUGAGGACCCUGUGUUCUGCUGAGGACCGCUACGUACUGAGCGGAGCGGGCCAGGAGGAGGGAAAGAUCGCCAUCUGGAAGGUGGAGUGAGAGCUCCAUACUGAACCAAUGCUGUCCUGUGAGGGCCCGCCUCCCGACCCUCCAACCCUCCACUGUGUCAGUGGCCAGCUAGGUGGGGCCUGUCUGCUCUGGCGGCCUUCACCUCCUUGGGCGAGCAGCUACAGCUUACUGCUGAUAACCUCCACUGUAAAGUUACCUCAUAUUACCUAGAAACUUCCAGAAUCCAUAACUAGAAGUCAGCACCUGAGCUGCCAACUCAGCUGAAUCACAUGUGACUUGUGGUCCUCUAGGCUGGCCUCUCCUCUUCGUGUUUACUCUUAAACACUUGGGCUCAUUGCCAUUGGUGUAGGGCAAAGGCUAGUGUGUCACAGUCAGCCACAGAAACAGAGCCUUUCGGGUUUCCACUAACUUCCUGAUUCCAGAGAGUCUUCUGAGCAUUCGAAGGUAAUCACCGACCGAACUGGCUUGCACUGGGCAGGUGAUUCCUCCUUCAGGGAAAGUGACCAAGGCCUGGCCCAGGAAGGGGACAGUACUGGCCAGAUUUGUCUGUGUAGAAAUUGGGCAGCUGAACGGCUCUGUCUUAGCAUUAAAGGUUUAAUGAAGACACCGACUACUACAGGCAGGAAGCACAUCUCACAAGCACAAGUGAGUGACUGUGUCACUGGCUUGUGGCAUAGCUGCACUUUGCGUGUCUCCUGCACGUGUGGACACAACGCCUCUAUUGAACUGUACAUAGCUAUCUGCACGGAGGCUUGUGAAUGUGUUUGCCACACUGGCCCAAUUUCAUUCUGCAAGUGUUCUGCAAGGUGUGUUUGUAUGGAUGCUGGACACGCAGAGGAAAUGGCCUGUAUCCUGUGUAUCCUCCUGUGAGUUCUGCAUGGAGCCCUUGGGAUCCCCUGCCUUGGGUCUUCAAGAUUCCAUGUCCGCCAUUGGAGAGGCGGUCACUAAGAGGUUACCAGUGGUCCACGCCCGUCUCUGAGAUCAACCAGGGUCCAGAGGUACUUGAGCCCAUGCCUGUGAAGACCCAGGCCUGAAGGGUCCAUGUCACUGACUGCUGGCUCACUUGAGGUGUGGCUCCCUUGAACACAGUGCAGAGGAUCUCAGAGCCACACCUCUCCCUAGAGUCUGUAUUCCCUAAGAGGUGUCCCAUAUGUCCAGAGGGACAAUGUGGCCAGCGGCCAAGGGCACAGGUUCACACUGUCUUUGUAAAAGUCGACCAUAAAUGCAUUCUAAGUUAUUUAAUGCCAGUCCAUGUAUGACCAGGUGUUUACAACUUGUGAUAAUAAACCCUUUUUGUUAAUAAA